UGCCCAGCAACUCCUAUCCCUACCUCCACGCGGUACCGGCCGGAAACUAUGAGCAACCUUAGGGAAGAUCGGGUAACCAACCCCGGUGGGAGCUUUGGUCGUAGGCUGACAGGGAAGG
rfam:Aedes albopictus isolate Foshan contig88397, whole genome shotgun sequence.